rnacentral:tRNA from 1 species
GCCUCUUUAGCUCAGUGGUAGAGCACUGGUCUCGGAAACCAGGGGCCACAAGUUCAAACCUCACAGGAGGCA